rnacentral:rRNA from 1 species
GAUGAACGCUGGCGAGAUGCCUUACACAUGCAAGUCGUACGGGGGAUUUUUAAUUCAAGUGGCGGACGGGUGAGUAACACGUGAGAAUUUGCCUUUAGGAGGGGGACAACAAUUGGAAACGAAUGCUAAUACCCCAUAUGCUUUCGAGUGAAAUGGAUUUUAUCCGCCUAGAGAGAAGCUCGCGGCUGAUUAGCUUGUUGGUAAGGUAAGAGCUUACCAAGGCGACGAUCAGUAUCUGGUUUGAGAGGACGAUCAGACACACUGGAACUGAGACACGGUCCAGACUCCUACGGGAGGCAGCAGUGGGGAAUUUUCCGCAAUGGGCGAAAGCCUGACGGAGCAAUACCGCGUGAGGGAAGAAUGCCUAUGGGUUGUAAACCUCUUUUUUCAGGGAGGAAUAAAAUGACGUGUACCUGAAGAAUAAGCAUCGGCUAACUCCGUG